AAUCAACGCUGGCGGCGUGCCUCAGACAUGCAAGUCGAACGAGAAAGUUUCCUUCGGGAGACGAGUACAGUGGCGUCCGGGUGAGUAACACGUGGGUAAUUUACCUUUGGGUGGGGAAUAGCAGCCGGAAACGGCUAUUAAUACCGCAUAAUGCAGGCGGCUCGACAUCGAGACAGUUGUUAAAGCGGGGAUCUGACAAGGACCUCGCGCCUAAAGAGAAGCCUGCGUCAGAUUAGCUAGUUGGUAGGGUAAUGGCCUACCAAGGCUGUGAUCUGUAGCCGGCCUGA
rnacentral:rRNA from 1 species